rnacentral:rRNA from 1 species
CGGCCAGACUCCUACGGGAGGCAGCAGUGAGGAAUAUUGGUCAAUGGGCGCAAGCCUGAACCAGCCAAGUCGCGUGAGGGAUGACGGUCCUAUGGAUUGUAAACCUCUUUUGUCGGGGAGCAAGGCCCGCCACGUGUGGCGGGAAGGAGAGUACCCGAAGAAAAAGCAUCGGCUAACUCCGUGCCAGCAGCCGCGGUAAUACGGAGGAUGCGAGCGUUAUCCGGAUUUAUUGGGUUUAAAGGGUGCGUAGGCGGAAUGCCAAGUCAGCGGUAAAAUCGCGGGGCUCAACCUCGCUCCGCCGUUGAAACUGGCUGUCUUGAGAUGUCGAGAGGUAUGCGGAAUGCGCAGUGUAGCGGUGAAAUGCUUAGAUAUUGCGCAGAACUCCGAUUGCGAAGGCAGCAUACCGGCGGCGAUCUGACGCUGAGGCACGAAAGCGUGGGUAUCGAACAGGAUUAGAUACCCCCGUAAU